AACGAACGCUGGCGGCAUGCCUAACACAUGCAAGUCGAACGAGACCUUCGGGUCUAGUGGCGCACGGGUGCGUAACGCGUGGGAACCUGCCUUUAGGUUCGGAAUAACUCAGAGAAAUUUGAGCUAAUACCGGAUGAUGUCUUCGGACCAAUGAUUUAUCGCCUUUGGAUGGGCCCGCGUUGGAUUAGCUGGUUGGUGGGGUAAAGGCCUACCAAGGCGACGAUCCAUAGCUGGUCUGAGAGGAUGAUCAGCGACACUGGGACUGAGACACGGCCCAGACUCCUACGGGAGGCAGCAGUGGGGAAUAUUGGACAAUGGGCGAAAGCAUGAUCCAGCAAUGCCGCGUGAGUGAUGAAGGCCUUAGGGUUGUAAAGCUCUUUUACCCGAGAUGAUAAUGACAGUAUCGGGAGAAUAAGCUCCGGCUAACUCCGUG
rnacentral:rRNA from 1 species